rnacentral:tRNA from 1 species
GGUAGUAGCUCAGUUGGUAGAGCAUCAGCUUCCCAAGCUGAGGGCCGCGGGUUCGAGCCCCGUUUACC